AUUAUCAGGGGUUUCUAUGCCACCCUUUGUAGCGUUAGCGCUGGAAUCAAGCGCAGAGGAUCUACAGGCAGACCUUUUAUAGAGAUCAGGACGGUACCCACGUUUCUCCCCACUUCAGAAGCCCAAUGGAUAGGUGUGAGGCCUCUGUAAGGAGGAGCUGGUGUGACCUGCUUCCCGUCCUGCACACCAGUGAACAGCCUGUGGACCAGCCCCGUACCUGCAAUGUACCCCAUGGAGUCCUCCUCAAAUCCCCAGGACCACUGAGAUGUCACCUGUGACAAGUCAAGUCUCCAGUGUCUAAGAAAAAGCAGGAGGCAUGAGAGAAUCUGCAGGGGGCACUGUACUCCACCAUACCGCACGCCUCUGUGCUCCCUCUGGGCACUCUGGCUUCAAGUGCCUGGAGUCUAACAGAUAGGAGAUACGGACUUCUUAGCAGCGAAAGGAGGCAUCAAUAAAUAGCCACAAAACUGGUUAACAAUGGGACAAAAUUGUAGUCAUUAAAAUUUUUAU